rnacentral:tRNA from 1 species
UUAAUUAAAACCAAAAUAGAGGUGUGAUAUUGUUAAUAUUAUUAUUGAUUAUUAAUUAAUCUAAUUAAA